rnacentral:piRNA from 1 species
UGCUUUGAGCGUUGGGAUUAAAGGCA